rnacentral:rRNA from 1 species
UACGUAGGGGGCUAGCGUUGUCCGGAAUCAUUGGGCGUAAAGAGCGUGUAGGCGGUCCGGUAAGUCCGCUGUGAAAGUCGGGGGCUCAACCCUCGAAUGCCGGUGGAUACUGUCGGGCUAGAGUGCGGAAGAGGCGAGUGGAAUUCCUGGUGUAGCGGUGAAAUGCGCAGAUAUCAGGAGGAACACCUACUGCGAAGGCAGCUCGCUGGGACGUAACUGACGCUGAGACGCGAAAGCGUGGGGAGCAAACAGG